rnacentral:rRNA from 1 species
GGAGACGCCCGAAGCCGAUUAUCUAGCCUUUUGGAAGAAGUCGUCGAAGGUGGAAUCAAUAACUGGGGUGAAGUCGUAACAAGGUAGCCGUAUCGGAAGAUGCGGCUGGAUCACCUCCUUUCUAAGGAGAAUUGCCUACUGUUUAAUUUUGAGGGUUCGUUUUUACGAAUACUCAAAAUUAGCACUUUAAGCAACGGGAUUUAUCCGUUGGCGCCGUGCUUUAGCACUUUUAGCAACAGAAUAAACUGAACGCAUGUGAAGUUUGUUUGUUGGCGCUGUGCGUUAGCACUUUAAGCAACGGAAUUUAUUCGUUGGCGACGUGCGUUAGCACUUUGAAAACUGCAUAUAUAUUUAGUGAUAUGACAUCUAAUUUGUAAUAUAUAAAGUUGAUAACUUUUUAAAAUUAUCGAAGUUGAUAGCUUCUAAUCUAUCAAACCUUUUUAACUGGUCAAGUUAUUAAGGGUGCAGGG